rnacentral:rRNA from 1 species
AUGUAUCCACUGGCUUGGGCAAUAGUUGAGUAGGAAACAAAUGAGACAUGGAAAUGGUUCAUGUGUUUGCCCAUUAAAGAUUUGAACAUUAACAACAAUGGAGAUGGCUGGAUGUUCAUAUCUGACCAGCAAAAGGGAAUUCUCAAUGCCAUGAAUGAUUAUCUUCGAAAAGCAGAGCACAGGAUGUGUGCUAGGCACAUCUAUGCCAACUGGAGGAAGAAACACAGGGCACAUGAGUGGCAGAAGAAAUUCCGGGCUGUUGCCAAAGCAUCAAACAUCCAAGAUUUCAAUUAUUAUAAAGCCAAGCUUGCACAAGAAACACCAUAG